AUUGAACGCUGGCGGCAUGCCUUACACAUGCAAGUCGAACGGCAGCACGGGAGCAAUCCUGGUGGCGAGUGGCGAACGGGUGAGUAAAGUAUCGGAACGUGCCAGUCGUGGGGGAUAACGUAGCGAAAGUUACGCUAAUACCGCACACGAUCUAUGGAUGAAAGCGGGGGAUCGCAAGACCUCGCGCGAUUGGAGCGGCCGAUAUCAGAUUAGGUAGUUGGUGGGGUAAAGGCCCACCAAGCCAACGAUCUGUAGCUGGUCUGAGAGGACGACCAGCCACACUAGAACUGAGACACGGUCCAGACUCCUACGGGAGGCAGCAGUGGGGAAUUUUGGACAAUGGGCGAAAGCCUGAUCCAGCCAUUCCGCGUGCAGGAUGAAGGCCCUCGGGUUGUAAACUGCUUUUGUACAGAACGAAAAGGUUUCUACUAAUACUAGGAGCUCAUGACGGUACUGUAAGAAUAAGCACCGGCUAACUACGUGCCAGCCGCCGCGGUAA
rnacentral:rRNA from 1 species